CGCAUUACUUGGCAUCGUCUCUGUGAUGUAUUGUUUUAAUAUUUUUACUAAGUAAUUUUUUUCCCAAAUAUUCGGGAUCGGAGUUUAUUCCGUUUCAAUUUAUUAUUCAAACGCACAACAACGUCCAAAAAUUGUAGAGCAUCCGUCUGAUGCUCUGGCAACGCGAGAUGAGCCCUUAACACUAAAUUGUGGAGCAACUGGACGCCCCCAGCCUUCAAUUCAAUGGUAUCAUAAUGGAACGCCUCUAGUGCCAUCCGAACGACGUGUUGUUUUACCAGAAGGAUCACUCUUUUU